rnacentral:rRNA from 1 species
AGUCAACCUGCCCUUGGGUCGAGGAUAAUCUCGGGAAACUGAGGCUAAUACUCGAUAGGUCAAGAUUCCUGGAAUGGGUUUUGGUCAAAAUGAGGUAACAGCAUCUUUGUUAUUUUCGCCCAAGGAUGGGACUGCGGCCGAUCAGGCUGUUGGUGGGGUAAAGGCCCACCAAACCAGUAACCGGUACGGGCUUUGAGAGAAGGAGCCCGGAGAUGGACACUGAGACAAGGGUCCAGGUCCUACGGGGCGCAGCAGGCGCGAAACCUUCGCAAUGCGCGCAAGCGCGACGAGGUUAUUCCGAGUGAUUCCCGCUGAGGGAAUCUUUUCUCAGAUCUAAAACGUCUGGGGAAUAAGGGGAGGGCAAGUCUGGUGUCAGCCGCCGCGGUAAUACCAGCUCCUCGAGUGGUCAGGGCGUUUAUUGGGCCUAAAGCAUCCGUAGCCUGCUCGGUAGGUCUCCUGUUAAAUCCAACGGCUCAACCGUUGGUCUGCAGGAGAUACCGCCGGGCUAGGAGGCGGGAGAGGCGGACGGUACUCCGAGGGUAGGGGUAAAAUCCUUUGAUCCCCGGAAGACCACCAGUGGCGAAGGCGGUCCGCCAGAACGCGCUCGACGGUGAGGGAUGAAAGCUGGGGGAGCGAACCGGAUUAGAUACCCGGGUAGUCCCAGCUGUAAACGAUGCGAGCUAGGUGACACGACGCCUUCGGGGCAUCGUGGUGCCGCAGGGAAGCCGUUAAGCUCGCCGCCUGGGGAGUACGGACGCAAGUCUGAAACUUAA